ensembl:lncRNA
UAGUCGGAAAAGACAAGUGGAAUAUUUACUAAUAUACAAGUGGAGAGGUUUCCUGCUUUUCCUGUCCUCUUGAUGAAAGGUUUCUCACUGUCUCGUCUGGCUGUCCAGUAAUUACUCAUAUGGGAGCUCGUUCCUGCCAACAUCAUAGAUUAGUCUCUUCAUUAAAUCAGUAAAACAUUCCUUAUAUUUCCAACAUGGCAAAAACAAGACAGUGCCCCACAGCAUGUAAAGGCCAAAUAAACAUUGAUGCAGCUCUAUAAAAGUUACUGGCUUAGCCCCAGGGAUAUGGCUGAGGAAAUAGUACUAUAAUGAAUUUGACAUACAAAAGCAACCAUCUCAUAACAUUAACGACUGCAGUAUUCUGCUUUUUUUCCUAAGAUAUUGCAUAAUUAAUCAACUUCAAAUUAUCAUUGCCACUUUUUGAGAAAUGUAUAUAAGUAAGGGAUGCAUAGUCUCAGAUUUAUACUAGAUACUUCUGACUUUCUCCUUCCCUGACAUAUACAGUGCAGCCCAGAUAAUAACGCCAGAAUGAGCCUCCCCAAAAGGGUCUCACUCUGGACCGUGGUGGAUGUGUUUGACUGGGUCAAGGAGCAGUACCCCUACCAAAAGAGUGUCCUCCAAGUGGCCAUCUUCAAGCAUGACAUAUCCGGCCGAGCUCUGCUGAGGAUGGGUGAACACCAAUUGGAGAGGAUGGGGGUGGAGGUGGAGCAUCUUCAGGAGGUCCUACUGGACAUCCUUCUCCUCAGGGUCCAGGAGGAACUUGAGAACCUUAACGACAUCUUCUCUGAGUGUUUCUCUUCAUGUCUAUAACAGAAGAAGAGGUCUGAGAUAUCAUUAUUUAGUCCAUCUACGGUGUGGAGGACUAGAGAAGAAAAAAUACAUUUGCUUUCAGUAGUCAUUGACCUGAAGAAGGCGGCCAGAUUGGUUUUGGCAUGGUUGUAGUUUUACUGACAUGUCUGUGAAUCAAGCCCUUACCCCUCGCUCUGCGCUGCUCUUGUGGUCUUAUUUUUCACAAUACUCAAUACACUAUGUGGCAGCUAUUGCAGAGGGAGAACAUCAUUCCCCACUUGAACAGGGGAUACAGUACAUCCCUCAUCUGGACUAAAUGUUGCAAUCCCAUACCAAGCAGUGAUUUGGCUAGCUAAUGGCCUGUUAUAUUACUCUCAGGAGACCCUGUGUGAAUUAGAAUGGAGAGUAAGUAAAUUAGUCCUGAGUUUAAUGCAGGGACACAUGGCCAUAAUUUAGAUAACAACCCAAAUGCUGCUCAAACCUAUUAGGCCCUACACAGGGAACAUAAUAGGAUCAUUUAAUGGGAGGUUUCUGGCAGAGACAAAAUGGCUUUAAAGUUUUAUAUAUUUGCUUAUAUAGUUUUAUGUUGGAGUAGGAAUGUUGUGUCUGACUGAAACUCGUCUUUGUUUAGGUUUGUUGCUCCACACCUCAUGUUUGUAAGACGUCAGCAGUUUUUCUGUCUGUCAAAUACAAUGCAAUGUCUAGCAAAUCUUUAAAUGGAACACAACUACGCAUAGAAUCCCUCCAGUAUGACUACCCAGCUAGGAAUGUACUCUAUGCAGAUAUAUCCUAUUUUAUUUGCUCCGGGAACAUAUUCAUAUAAACAGUUCAUUGUGUAAUCAUGUGCUUGCUUAAAUUGCUCAGAGAUAACAGUUUUGCAUAUUAAGUGGAGCAAAUGAAAGUGCUACGUUUGCAAAUACUACAUCUUUUUAUGUUUCAAAUCCUCCUUCCUCAGAGAAAUUCCUCCCCAGACGUAAAUGUCCUGUCCAUUGUAUAAUGAUAAUGUUUGUUUGCUCCAGUUUGAAGUACAUCCCUAAGGUUCUGCACGUUUCAUUAGACACUACAUGCACAUAAAAAACUGCAGGACUGUCAAAUCUGAGCUCAAACAGUACCUUAGCAAAGCAUACAAUGCAGUUCAACUCCAAACCACUAUACCUGUAUUGUAGUGUAAUGUUUUCAUAAACAGGAAACGCUAUGUUUAGACAUCCAUUUGCUAUCCAGCCUAGAACACAGGAGAGAAACAGGUUACUCUGGUGAAGAGAUGAGAAUGAAAUGUCACGAGGGUGUUUAGUGGGUGAAUCUGUGGAUGAACCCUAUUUAGUGCAUGAGUCUGACCUGACAGCUCAUAUUUGCUAAUAAAGACCUAAUCUGAUCAUUGUUCAUUUGAAAUAAUUGUCUUCGCUGAUAAUUAUAUAAAAAUCAAUGUGUAGAAUCAGCCAGUGGCCUAAAUCUUGAGAGACACACUGGUGCCCUCAGACAAUGUCCAUUUGUCUCUAUUACAUGACUCGUCACGAUACAUCAUCCCACUUCCACACACACUUGUCAGACAACCCCAAACUUUAAAUCUCCUCCUACUUUUAAAGGGCAGCCAGAAAACCGAGGACAGCAGAAAGCAAGCAAAAACACAUUGCUCAGUGAAAGUAACCCCUCUAGGGGAACAUGACUUUUUUUCUUUGUUCAGUAAUCCAGCUCCUGAAAAGCCCAGCCCAGGCCUGGCAUGCUGAAUCUGAUGUGCCCCAUAAAAGGACUGUUUACAUUUCCUCACCUUCCAUGGACAUUAGCAAGCGCUGAGCCUGUGGCUCUAGAGUCCCAGUGGGGGGCACACCAAAUUAGACAGGCUGAUUAAUGUCCCUCAGAGAUGCAUGGCAUUUGAUUUCCUCCAUUCAGGGCGAUGGUGCAUCAGGAAAGCGCUGACUCACAUUAAAUGUAAAUAUACCUCGGGGAGAGACACUUAAUCAUAUAUGACAGUGAGGGCUUCCCGAAUAUUCCAAAGGUUAGCAAAUCAUGCCUUUGACCCAAAGAGAUGGGAAAAAAGAAACAUGGAACCAAACUUUGUGUUAUUUGGCAUGCAACAAAUGAUGGGUUGAACAAAGAGAAAGGACUACAAUGGACUGCUAAAUGGAGCUAACAUACAGCAAGAUACAUUCUCGGUAUUGACAGUUUUAUUGUAACUAGACUCAGUAAAAUUUCCUGGCCAAAAUAUUGUUCCAAUAAGUUAGGGGGGUUUCUGUAACCUCUUUGUCUUGUUUAUAUUUUACUCAAAUUUCAGUUCAAGAAUGCAAUCAGGGUUUUGUGGAGUCCAGUGGAGGCUGCUGAGGGGAGGGCAGCUAAUAAUAAUGGCUGGAACGGAGCAAAUGGAAUGGCAUCAAGCACAAGGAAACCAAGUGUUUGAUGUAUUUGAUACCAUUUCACUGAUUCCUCUCCAGCCAUUACCACACGGGCUCGUAUCAAAUGAAGGUGCCACCAACCUCCUGUGGUGGAGUCUCUGGUCUGUGUUAUAUUCCAUAUCUAAUAGACACUCUGUUGGCUAAAAUCUAUACUUUCUUCUGCCAAGACAUAAUGCAUCUCCAGUCUAUUGUCUGCACCGCUGGAUCAAUCAUUAAUGUAGGCAGCAGAUAAAAGAGGGAAGCUUUUUAGCAACUACUUAAUUAUUAAGGGUUGGUUGAACUUUUCACGACUUUCUGAUUAUCAUUUUAGUUGAACGUUUAAGGUUACUCGAACCAGGUGUCAAGUAAGGGUUAUAACUUACUGAUUCUUCAUUAUCCAGCUUCAAAGAUAUGUAUUUCCUAUCUUAAAUUCAUGACAUAAUCUUAUUGCUCAGGUAACAAUCUUAAUUCAGGCAAUGUACUGUAGCACGGCUGCACGGCAGAGCAUACAACUCACAAAUUGUCUUCUGCCACUGAGACGGAGAGACUAUCAGAGGAGUGCCAUUAUACGUCUUUGUGCGUGUUGAUCAUGACUUCAUUGGGUCAACACAUCGCCUUAGAGAUGCGUUUCUAAUGGGAUACCUGGGGAGGUUCAUCGAAGAGGUGGGCCUUAAAUCUCAGCCUGACAGACAUUUCUCUUACUCUAAUGACACUACUUAUGCCUAUCGGUCACACAGACAGGCAGCCAGGGGUUGGGGAGACUUUAGAAUGGGGAAAGGAUGGCAGGGCUCCUUUCAGAAUAAUGAACCAAUUAGUUCCCUUGUCUUUGAAAGUGUGUGAGGAAAAACCACAGACAAAGUAAUGACAUAUCCCUUGCAAUUAAAUUAUUUGCUGCCUGUGAGGGGCUGAACGUCGUCACUUUCAGCACAACUAUGCAUUUUUCCCUUCGCUCCCUGUUUGCUGUGUUUGCGUUUAUAGAAAUGGUAGUACAUCCCAUCCCUAUCCACCGCCAGCCAUAGCCAACCAGCAGUGCAUCCAUCUGACGCCACUGCAGACUGUUUGUCACUGUCUUGUAAAUUAUUCAUAGCUGCAACUGCAAGAAAAGGAUCAAUACAUUCUGAUAUAGAAAUUAGUUAGUGGCAGGGCAUGAGAUGCAUCCAUUUUUUGGAUUAGAGAGAAUAAACAGUGGAAACAGUCCUGGAAGUGAUAUUGAGGUUGAAGAGGCCAUGCCAGGAAGCUGUUGUAUUUAGGUUCAUUUAAUCUGUUCCCUGCUGAUGUGUUUUAAGGCAAAGAGAUAAUGCUGACAUUGGUGACCAAUGUGUUAGUCACACCAUACAAUCACAAGAUAACAACCCCAUAGAGCCUGAGUGAAAUCAUUUUCACAAAUAUUUUUUUCUCAAUGGACAUUUUAGGGGAAACAAUUUACAAUUAUUGACAUACUGUACGUGCAAAUAUACAGUUGAAGUCGGAAGUUUACAUACACUUAGGUUGGAGUCAUUAAAACUUUCUUUUAAACCACUCCACAAAUUUCUUGUUAACAAACUAUAGUUUUGGCAAGUCGGUUAGGACAUCUACUUUGUGCAUGACACAAGUAAUUUUUCCAACAAUUGAAUAAGGAAAGAAUAUUUCACUUAUAAUUCACUGUAUCACAUUUCCAGUGGGUCAGAAGUUUACAUACACUAAGAUGAGUGUGCAUUUAAACAGCUUGGAAAAUUCCAGAAAAUGAUGUCAUGGCUUUAGAAGCUUCUGAUAGGCUAAUUGACAUAAUUUUUGUCAAUUUGAGGUGUAUCUGUGGACCUAUAUCAAGGCCUACCUUCAAACUCAGUGCCUCUUUGCUUGACAUCAUGGGAAAAUCUAAAUAAAUCAGCCAAGACCUCAGAAAAAAAUUGGGAGCAAUUUCCAAAUAAUUGAAGGUACCACGUUCAUCUGUACAAACAAUAGUACGCCCGUAUAAACACCAUGGGACCACGCAGCCGUCAUACCGCUCAGGUAGGAGACGCAUUCUGUCUCCUAGAGAUGAAGGUACUUUGGUGCGAAAAAAGUGCAAAUCAAUCCCAGAACAACAGCAAAGGACUUUGUGAAGAUGUUGGAGGAACAGGUACAAAAGUAUCUAUAUCCACAGUAAAACAAGUCCUAUAUGUCGACAUAAGGCCGCUCAGCAAGGAAGAAGACACUGCUCCAAAACCGCCAUUAAAAAAUCCAGACUACGGUUUGCAACUGCAUAUGGGGACAAAGAUCGUACUUUUUGGAGAAAUGUCCUCUGGUAUGAUGAAACAAAAAUCAAACUGUUUGGCCAUAAUGACCAUCUUUAUGUUUGGAGGAAUAAGGGGAGGCUUGCAAGCCGAAGAACACCAUCCCAACCGUGAAGCACGGGGGUGGCAGCAUCAUGUUUUGGGGGUGUGUGGGUCUUCCAUAUGGACAAUGACCACAAGCAUACUUCCAAAGUUGUGGCAAAAUGGCUUAAGGACAACAAAGUCAAGGUAUUGGAGUGGCCAUCACAAAGCCCUGACCUCAAUCAUAUAGAAAAUGUGUGGGCAGAACUGAAAAAGCGUGUGCGAGCAAGGAGGCCUACAAACCUGACUCAGUUCCACCAGCUCUGUCAAGAGGAAUGGGCCAACAUUCACCCAACGUAUUGUGGGAAGCUUGUGGAAGGCUACCCGAAACGUUCGACCCAAGUUAAACAAUUUAAAGGCAAUGCUACCAAAUACUAAUUGAGUGUAUGUAAACUUCUGACCCACUGGGAAUGUGAUGGAAGAAAUAAAAGCUGAAAUAAGUCAUUCCCUCUGGUAUUAUUCUGACAUUUCACAUUACUAAAAUAAUGUGGUGAUCUGAACAGACCUAAAACAGGGAUUUUUUUCUAGGAUUAAAUGUCAGGAAUUGUGAAAAACGGAGUUUAAAUCUAUUUGGUUAAUAAGGUGUAUGUCAACUUCAACUGUAUAAUGCUUUAUUCGCGGGCCGGGCGCAGUGCGCGCUAACCAAGGUUGCCAGGUGCACGAUGUUUCCUCCGACACUGAGGAGGCUGGCUUCCGAUUUGGAUGGCGCUGUGUUAAGAAGCAGUGCGGCUUGGUUGGGUUGUGUAUCGGAGGAUGCAUGACUUUCAACCUAAGUCUCUCCCGAGCACGUACGGGAGUUAUAGCGAUGAGACAAGAUAGUAGCUACUAAACAAUUGUAUACCAUGAAAUUGGGGAGAAAAAGGGGUAAAAAAAAAAGAUAUGCUCAAACAAGCACGUGUAUCUGUAGUUGAUGUUCUUCAACUCUAAAAUGCCAAUAGGCGGCCUGCGUGGUUUUAUUUGGCCUCCCAGGUAAAAAAUAAAUAUAUACAUUUGUUUUAUUUAAUUGUUGGACAUAAAAACUGUAAAACCCUCCCAGUAAGUCAGCUCCAAGUGAUUAUAAUUUUGGAAAUCUAUUCCCAAGCAUAAUUGUUGGGGCACACAUGAUCGUAUGCAAAUAUAAGCAAGGUUUGAAAUGAUUAUGUUUUUGUCAAAUAAUAUAUCUAUUAUAUCUAUUUGUGCUUAGGCAGCCCCCCGCACCUCUCUGAUUCAGAGGAAGACACAUUUCAGUUGAAGGCAUUCAGUUGUACAACUGACUAGGUAUCCCCCUUUCCCUUUCUUGCAGUCAGUUUGCAGUCUAUAAAUUAUUUGUAAUUAGUUAGUUCACACUGCAAUAGCAUGGUUCUCCUCACAGGUGAGGGAAUCAGCCCAUGCUCGGUGAAUAGCACUUGGUUGAUCUCUGGGAGCAGGACACAGCAUAGCUGAUUAGAUCAUGUGAGACAAAAUUAAGAGACAAAAAUGAAUAAAAUAAAGGAAUGUAGUUUGUGAGCUAGAAAAUGAACAUCCUGGCAGUCUGAGGCAGGGUGCUCUGCAAUCAUCCUACUCCAACUAUUGGCAAAGAUAAUUGGGCAUUUCUUAUUUGUUAGAAGGAAAUUAGUUGGUCCUGUCCUGCCUUGAUGACUGAAUUAGCUUUACACUACUUGUCCUAUAGAUAUUUGUAGUCACCAGCUGUUUACCAGCUGUCUACUACCUUAGGUACUGGAUAGCAUGAUUGGCAGACGUGAUCAGCUGAGAUGGUAGCAUGGAUAGUAAUGAGUUUUGAUUUGUUUACAGUUUAGUACCUGGCAGCAUUUGUCUGUCCAGCUAGCGACCAUAAAAGUAAGUAUUUUGAAAACAUUUGCAAGAAUUGGCAUUGGCAACAAACGGAACUGUGUUCAGAAUAAAUAAAUAUACACAAUAUGUAAAAACCAGUUCCUCCCUCAACAGAGAUAGAUCAUCUUGAAAGCUAAAGCAGACAGCUUGCUACUGCCCACCGCCUAUUCCUUAAUUUGGUGUUUAUUAGGAUUCUUCAAAUUCUUAUAGAAUUCCUGCUGCAAGGCAGCAUGGUGAUUGAAUUACUGUGGGGAGCCAAUCAAGUUACUCCAGGAGACAUUCGGAAUGGCCUCCAUAUCCCCAUUGGUUCGAUGGGUUCUCUGUGAUUAAUGUGGAGUAAUUGGCAAGUCAUCCAUGCAUUCAGUCAAACCUUCACUCCAGGUGAGAGGAAAGGAGAGGGGCAAAUAAUUGACGAUGGAAGGAAGCAAUCAAACAAGACAUUGGUACUUUUAUUAGCAUAGAGAGCACAUAGCAGCAGUCUGCACACUAUCUCCAGGUUAAAGAGCGCGGCCUGUUAUUGAAUAUAUCCAUUUGUCAAGACAAAUGAGGUACACAGCUCUGGGUCUGAUGGGCAAGCUUCCAGCGAGGCCAAACUACCGUGUACUUUAUUACCGGGGUGAGGAAAAUUAGUUUUCCCUGAAAACGCAGGCAAGGGCAAUUUAUUUUCCUGACAUCAAUGGAUCUUUGGCAGUUGAUUUAUCUUUGCUGUGUUCGAACUGAUUGUGUGAGAGCAUCUGCAGGUGGCCGCAGUGGCUUGUGGGAGAAAGGGUUUCAGGGCAGCGAUGCCUUGGCUCAUUUGGUUGUAGUAAUUUAUAGAUGCAAAGCCUUGCAAAUGUUCUGAUAGAGAAAUAUUAAAUUAUCAUUGGCUUGGCAUGUCCUGUGUCUGUCUAUAUCAAGAAAAACGAAAGCCUCUGGUAAAGAUAUAUAUUUCGCAAACUCUUAUAAAAGAAAGUCUAUCUUAUAAAAUAAUGUCUAUACAACCUGUUCAAAGCCAUGCAACAUGAACAUAGAAUUUGUUUGGCUUUAUCUUUAAAUAUGUAUGGCUCUUCCAUUAUCAAGUCUUAUCAUCAAUCUUUCCCAUCAUACAUAUGUCUGGCUAUAUAUUUUCGGCAUUGCUUCCCUGAAUGCAUAAUACAGAUAUCUCCUUAAUGAUUCUCGUUUGCAAACUAGCUCAUUUAAAAAUAUAUGAGUGUGCCAUUCACAUGACAUGGCAUAAACAUUUACAGGGGUUGGUCAAUGAAGCACAUCAUAUGCUAUACAUUUUGCAUUGGGGAAAGGAGGGUUUGAAAAAUGUAUGGUGACAGGAUGACAAGUUGUAAAGUGUUGGAGGUAAUUGGUGCCCUGAUGCUGUGAUGCAGUGAUAUGGGUGUUUUAUUUUCCAAUGAUUUUACAGUUAGUAUAGAGGGUCAGGUCCUUAGUAGCAAAUAUCUUUAUGGAGAUGUUUAGAAAAUUGUAUAUCUUGUUGAAUGAUGAUAGAAAUAGUCUGGAUGAUGUCACAGUUCUCAAAUUCUUAUAUUUUUGGGUCCAAUGUCUAUGUCUAUGUCUUGAGUUUUUGAGUAGUUUUGUGUUUGGGAGAAUUUCAAUUUCAUUCCCAUAAGUUUCUUGACAGCACUGGAAUGAUUCUGUCAGUCUGAGACAUGAUCUUCUCUCAGUAUCUCUUGUUACUGAAAAUUGAACUUUGGAAUCAUCUCCUGUCUGAUAUGAAAGAGAUACUGCCUUCAUAGGGCAUAAAAAAUCAAUCCUCAAGACCUGUCAUACAAGGGAUAUAGCACUUAAUGUCCUUGUCAAGAGGGUGCAUGCUGAUGAGAAUGGGUGAGCUUAAUUCAAGCUGAGUUGUCAGAAUGAAGAUAACUAUUCACGACUGGUGAAGAGGGAUUGCACUGGAGAGAGAGAGAGAGAGAGAUAGAAAGAGAGAUGGAGAGAUAAAGAUAGAGAGAAAUAGAGUGAGAGAUAGGGAGUUGUACUUUAAAUUGAAUACAGAACAUCGAUUAAAUUAUCCUGCUCAUAUCACCCUAGUGAACAGACUGUAAUAAUACCAGUAUAAUCUUGCAUAUCCUGUUGGAAAUUCCUGUGAUCAUCCCACUGGAGCUCUGAGGGGAUAUGUGAGAUCAGAAACUCUCGUUUCUGUUAAUGAUGACAUCCCUUUGGACCAAGUGUCUGGUUAACAUGAAAUUAAGAAAACACAAUAUGUAGUGGUCAUCUGUUUUAAGUCAAGUGUCCAAAUGUUUUACUUGGAUUAAUGCAGUGAAUAAAACCAAGUCUUG